UACAAAGCAGUUGUUGCAUGAGUUGUGACGAUUGCAGAAAUAUGGCAAAGCGGUGUGUUUUCGGUUGUUUGCCUAACAAAACCCUUUUCAGUAUCCCACGACUACCUUGGCUACGGUCGCGUUGGCUUGAAUUUUUGCACUUUGAAGAGGAAGGCUUAACGGUAAAUUCGCGGCUCUGUUCGAGGCAUUUCACGCCCGAGUGUUUCCAGAAUUUAACCCAGCACGAAAUGGGAUUUGCCAAAGUGUUGUAUCUGAAGAAUACCGCUGUUCCGUCGGUGUACACCGUCGGUGCACCACAAAGUACGAAGCCUCUGACACGGGAUGUGGGCUGCCAGUGUACCGCCCCAAUUUCAAAAAAGAGCAUCUCGGUUCAAGCGUCAUUCCCAAUCCCUAAACCGAAACGACGAAGUAAAGGUGAAGUUUAGGUUGUUGGUAGCGUUUAGGUUUAGCGCAUUAUUCAACCAAUUUCCCUCCUUUGUUCAUGUUCAAACAGCUAUUCAAGUGAAGUGCUCAGGGCAUCCUGUCAUCUCGUCCUCUGAGAAUGACAGUCUACAAACACCGGAGCUCAUAACAGCACCGAUAAAACGGCCGCGAAUGGAAGAAAACAGAGAUGAGCUCAACGACAGAUCCUUGUUGACCCUCAAAGAGCCAAAUGAUUUCACAUAUGAGCCUGAUCUCACAGAAGACGAUGAAAAAUAUUGCGCCAAACAUGGAAGUCACACAGUGAUAAAUAUGAGCGACAAUAGGGUGUUGGACAUUAAAUUAGAAAAUUGAUGCUCUUGACAAAGAGCGGUUUGAGGAGAGACUCCAUACUGGACCAAAAGCAUCAUAAACCUCCUCUACUGGUGCACAUUCUUCAAGAUGAGAAGAAGCUGUUGCAAGGUGGAGGUCCAUUGAAUUGCCAGUCAUGUGGAAGGUGUUCAUCACAACAAGCGGCACAUUGUCUGACUGCAUCCUCACACCUGUAGAGGAGCGAAUGUGGCUGAAACCAGAUUAUGUUGAUGUGCGGCUGAGGCUGCUUUUGGCAAAGAGCUUCGUCACCCCUGGACUAUUCCAGGAACAUCUAAAUGAGGGUCCCUAACCGUCUAUGUGAUGCUUAUUGGAGACCUGGCACGAAGACAUCUGCUGCCUUUUUUUUUUACCCUUACAUUAUAAGGACAUGCAGCUGUGCCUGUAAAUGUGUGUCUGAGUGAGAGAAAAAAAAAAGUGUGUAAUGAAAUUGUUGUUAUAAUUGUGGCAAUGAAAUCUGUUGCACAAUGCGAAAUGUUUUUGUACUUGUGCUUUGUUCUUCUGAUGGUAAUGCAGCUCUGGUCUUCUUCAAUAUGCUUGUUAUCCCAAGUAGCCCCAGCAACAUCUAACAAGAGACCUGUAAGGCUGUGACAGUAUUGUUUAGAGAACCAGGUUAGAGAAAAAAUGUAAUCUGCUGAUGUAAAAAAAAAAAAAAAAAGUGGUUU